rnacentral:rRNA from 1 species
GAUCAUGGCUCAGAUUGAACGCUGGCGGCAUGCCUUACACAUGCAAGUCGAACGGCAGCGCGGACUUCGGUCUGGCGGCGAGUGGCGAACGGGUGAGUAAUACAUCGGAACGUACCCUGUUGUGGGGGAUAACUAGUCGAAAGAUUAGCUAAUACCGCAUACGACCUGAGGGUGAAAGUGGGGGACCGCAAGGCCUCACGCAGCAGGAGCGGCCGAUGUCUGAUUAGCUAGUUGGUGGGG